ACUACAAAUUCAGCCAUUAAGUAUGACUAAAGUCCAAUAAUUAAGAAACCUAUUACAAUUGGGCAAAGGAUCCAAAGGAAGCUUUAGAUUCGAUACACUUAAAACUUGCUAACGCCUUAGCCACUGUACCAAACUUUUAACUGGCAACACGGGAGAAACUCACAGCACACAUUAAGAUCAUCAGAGAACUCCACCAAAGAAGCAAAGCUUCCUCAAAAAAGAUGUCUACUUCAUAACAAGUAAGCCAAAUAAGCUGUAAUCAUUGAAAGAAAGUUAGGACCCGUGUAUAUGUCGAUGGAAAUUCGAGAGAGAGAUAACAAAGCUUAGGUCUCUCAAUCUCAUGUAGCCCGUAAGAAGAUCGGUGCCCAAGACGAACUAUAACUACUUUUUUGAGAUGACAGCCAAACAGGGAAACUCUUGACACAACAUGCACUCACAUACAAAACAAAGAAACAGAACAACAAACCCCAUCCAAGGAAGGGAAUUAAACUUCAGAUCUGGAUACUAUAAUAGCACUACAACAAAAAUACAACCUAAGAAACCAAAGAAAAGAGAUAGAGAGGGAGGAUCGAUGGCCAAAAGGUCAGACCUCGCCUAUAAAGACUAGGUUUUUGAAGUUUUAGAAAGAAGGGAGAGACUGUAGCUUAGAGAGAGAAG
rnacentral:misc_RNA from 1 species